rnacentral:rRNA from 1 species
CCUACGGGAGGCAGCAGUGGGGAAUAUUGGACAAUGGGCGAAAGCCUGAUCCAGCAAUGCCGCGUGAGUGAUGAAGGCCUUAGGGUCGUAAAGCUCUUUUACCCGGGAUGAUAAUGACAGUACCGGGAGAAUAAGCCCCGGCUAACUCCGUGCCAGCAGCCGCGGUAAUACGGAGGGGGCUAGCGUUGUUCGGAAUUACUGGGCGUAAAGCGUGCGUAGGCGGUUAUUCAAGUCAGAGGUGAAAGCCCGGGGCUCAACCCCGGAACGGCCUUUGAAACUAGGUAGCUAGAAUCUUGGAGAGGUCAGUGGGAUUCCGAGUGUAGAGGUGAAAUUCGUAGAUAUUCGGAAGAACACCAGUGGCGAAGGCGACUGACUGGACAAGUAUUGACGCUGAGGCACGAAAGCGUGGGGAGCAAACAGGAUUAGAUACCCUGGUAGUCCACGCCGUAAACGAUGAUAACUAGCUGUUCGGGUACUUGGUAUCUGAGUGGCGCAGCUAACGCAUUAAGUUAUCCGCCUGGGGAGUACGGUCGCAAGAUUAAAACUUAAAUGAAAUUGACGG